UACAGAGGUCUCAAGCGUUGUUCGGAUUCAUUGGGCGUAAAGGGUGCGUAGGCGGCGCGGUAAGUCGGGUGUGAAAUCUCGGAGCUUAACUCCGAAACUGCAUUCGAUACUGCCGUGCUUGAGGACUGGAGAGGAGACUGGAAUUUACGGUGUAGCGGUGAAAUGCGUAGAUAUCGUAAGGAAGACCAGUGGCGAAGGCGGGUCUCUGGGACGGUACUGGACGCUGAGACGCGAAAGCGUGGGGAGCGAACAGG
rnacentral:rRNA from 1 species